rnacentral:rRNA from 1 species
UACGAAGGGGGCUAGCGUUGUUCGGAAUUACUGGGCGUAAAGCGCACGUAGGCGGGUUGUUAAGCCAGGGGUGAAAUCCCGGAGCUCAACUCCGGAACUGCCUUUGAUACUGGCAACCUAGAGACUGGAAGAGGUUAGUGGAAUUCCCAGUGUAGAGGUGAAAUUCGUAGAUAUUGGGAAGAACACCAGUGGCGAAGGCGGCUAACUGGUCCAGUAUUGACGCUGAGGUGCGAAAGCGUGGGGAGCAAACAAG